rnacentral:lncRNA from 14 species
AUUCCAGGAUGAGGUUCCUGGUGAAGGCUGUGGUCGCUGUUGUAGGGCAGCCCAGGGGUGCGGGUCCCCGGCGGCCGCCGACGUCCGUGCUCUCGCUGUGGCUCGAUGAACGGAGUUAGCUUCUCUCCUUAAUGUGUUGAAAGCAUUUUCCCAGACUGGGACAUAGUGGGAGCGUUCAGCCGACUGCUUCCAGGUGGCAGUGUAGAAGCCAAGAACAAAAUUUGGCAGAAAUUACUCUGUGUGCAAGAAAAUGAAGAGUGUACUCAUGACUAAGCACAGGAACCUGGAAAACCACAGCAAUGUUGGAGUGAGGCAGACUUUUUCUUGUAUGUUUAUAUUGGUGUGCACAGCCUCUAGAAAUUAGUCCAUGGGUCUGCAUUCCAGGAUUGCUGGGAAGCCAUGGAGGAUGGGAUGAACUCGGAGCUGGAGCUUGAGGAUUUUUUUUGGAAGUGAUGUGUGGGAAGUUAUACUGGUAAGAUGUGUCAAAGUGGAAUUAUCACUGUGUUUAUGAAUAUAUUUAUACUCUUGCAUUUGAUGGUUGUUAUUCUAGUCUGAGAAGGUUUUUUUAUCUAAACCUUUAAAUUGCUUCUGUGAGGUUGUGGUUAUACCACAAAUAUCCACAGAUGACAAAGUCCCAUUGUGUCAGCUAUCCUGCAGUAACUGGACCUUGGCCACAGUUUUAGUUCUCCCCAGUUGUGAGGUAGGUUGCAGAAAGAAUGAUUUAUUUCACUGUUAGAAUGGCUAAGAGUGUACAUCCCAUUAGGUAUAGCCAACAGC